rnacentral:rRNA from 1 species
UACGUAGGGUGCAAGCGUUGUCCGGAAUUAUUGGGCGUAAAGAGCUCGUAGGCGGUUUUGUCGCGUCUGCUGUGAAAAUCUGGGGGGCUCAACCCCCCAGCCUGCAGUGGGUUACGGGGCAGACUAGAGUGCGGUAGGGGAGAUUGGAAUUCCUGGUGUAGCGGUGGAAUGCGCAGAUAUCAGGAGGAACACCAAUGGCGAAGGCAGAUCUCUGGGCCGUAACUGACGCUGAGGAGCGAAAGCAUGGGGAGCGAACGG